UUUGCAUUCAAAGGAGAGGAAAUGAGCCCACGGGUGAUUUAAAAAAAAAAAACUAUUAAGAUAAAUCUGUUGAGCCAUGCUGACAAGCGCUCCAUGCCGCAGUUUGUCUGUAACAUCUCAUCACAACCCAUUUUCCAACCAAGCCGUUGAACUGUGGCCCCUUUGGAACAUCCCCUCUGAACGGGGAUUAAGGCUGAGCAUUAAAACUCCCAUUGAGCAUCGUGUGCUUUUCCCCCCCCCGUCCAACAUUUCUCUGUGAGCCGCGGACGCGUCGACCGCUGACAUGAGCGUCUCUGGGAUCCACCGCGGCGUGCUCAGGAUGUACGGUGGAUUUAUUUUCAAACAGUGGAAAAAGAGGUUUCUCCUCCUGACGGCCGAGGGAAGCCUCCUCGUGUGUCACGAUGCCGCGUCGCCCCCUGACCAGCUGGUGCUGUUGCAGAACAGUUGUGAGGCAAUUGUGGAAGGCAAGGAGAUCCUGGACCUGCCCAGGUUACCUGCUGGCGGAUGCAGGGAAUGCUGCUUCGCCCUGAUCCUUCCCCAGAGUAAAUACCUACUGCUGCUGGCUGAAACCGCUGCAGACUGCAGUCAAUGGCUGAAUAUACUGAAAAAAGUGAAAAAGAGCCUCUCGUCACCUAUCAGUCCAUGUAAACGACAUCGGCUGCUACCCCCACACAUUAAACUCCAAGAUCUGGUGCCUGAGCAAAUCCUGGACAAGGACCCACCGACUCCACCGCUCUGCAACGCAGAAGCAGACUCCCCGGGGCCGACGGCUUGUGCUUCCCUCAGGGAGAAAGGCCGGAAUUCUCCCCUCACGAAGCAAUACAAAGGUGGUGCACACCCAGCAGGGUGUCUGCGCCACGGCACCAUCGGUAAUGCCGACGCAGUGAAGGCGGUUUAUCUGCUGAUGGGCGGUGCCGCUGCCUCCUCUGCUCUGGGUUACCUGGGCGCAUGCUCGCUCCCUAAUCUGGAAGCCAAAGCUCCUGACCUGCCACUCAACACGGAUUUCCCUGGCAUGGGAGCAACAGGAGUGUACAACGGCGCAGGGCCCGCACUCGACUCCGCUCACUGUAACAGCUUUGACUUUGAAGUGGCAGACUCUGAUUUUGAUGGUUUUGAUUGUGGUGGAUUUAGUUUCUGAUGAUGUACUGGAGACGCAAUGGAUGCAGGUAGUUUUAAUAAUGGUGUAAAAGUAUGUGAAGCGUCAUCAUGAUUAGUCAGAAUGAGUAACCAUAGGACGGCCUCCAAUUCAAUAUGUUUUUUCAGGACAAAGAUGCUAUGAAAUGAAAUUUUCUGCAGAAAUAACUGUGUUUACAACCUGUGUUGGUUUCUGUAGCUAGUUUCCCCAUCAACAACAACUGUAUAUAUUUCCUUUUACAUAUCCAACCCAUUUAGAUUUUAUUUAAAAAACUUGUUUUGUUGGUUCCUUCUCAGGUUGCUCUCUGCUUACUGUCUCCAGAAUGUUAUUGUUGACGUCGAAGACUAUGUCCAUAUAUUUAAAAAGUCCGUGCAUCAACUUCCCUCCCCGGGAUAACUGAGAACCCAAACCGUGAUCAACAAUCUAAAGCCCUAUUUGCACGUCACCAGUAAUUCCUGGUGACCUCUACGAUUUGUAAGAUUACAGAGGUUGUCUGUAAUCUUGCUCCUGUGCAAAUCUGUCAUGUAAAAGUAAAAAUUACACUGCAAUUAUCUUAAAUUGUCCAAUGAAGUCCAAUCAUGUAAUUUCAAGAAUGCUAAAUAUAAAAUGUUUAGUUUCAGUUAAAAUCUGUUUCUGUACAAAUUGACGUCCAAAGGCAUCAUCCACUUUUUUGUCCUUACGUGUUCCAUUCAAAUAUCUAGUUGUUGCUGUGGUUUCUAUCUAAAUUAGGUUGAAAACGGAUUCACAUGUAUGUCCAUUGAGCUCAUUUCACUUACAUAAAUAAAAUCGAUGUUUGGAAAUUGUCAGUUCUACUUGUUUUCCCAAAUACCGUUUUCAUGCAUUUAGUAACGCGCACACGUUACCCAGAUUUUGGAUCCCACUGCAAAGAUGAACAAUGAAAGUCAUUUUCAAAAUGUGUAUACCAGGAACCGGAAAAUGUUUCUUGUGUAAAAAUGAUUAAUACGG
ensembl:lncRNA